UAAAUAUAUAUAUAUAUAUAUAUAAAGAGAGAGAGAGAGUGUGUAUCGUAAAUAUGUUCCUGGUCUCAUACCAGUAACAAUCCAUGAAACUUUUGGAAUAAUAGUGUCUUGGAAGAAGAUUUUCUGAUAUUCUUCAAUAAGGAAUA
rnacentral:ribozyme from 12 species